UGCCUGGCUUGGGAAGGAGCACAUGACUAUACCUUGCCAAUCAGUGCAUUCCAUCCUCCUUCCCACACUGAUUGGUCCAAAGAAAAACAUGCAAAUCAAGCUAAAACAAUGAGAGUCUCUUGACUGAAUGUAAAGCUCAAACUGCCAGCAGCCACCACAAGAGGAGUCUGUCUACAGAUGAAGCCAACACUUAAAGACCCAGCCAAUAAUAAGAAAUAAGAAGUGAAUUCCAAUAAUAACAUUGGUAUCUGGAUCAAGCUAUUCUCGGUGUUGGUCAUCCCUGAGGACUUCUAAGUUAUGUAAGCCAGUAAUUUCCAAUGUUUUGAGUCAUUUUGAGUUGAUGUCUUAUUACUUGCAGCCAAAAGUGUUUUAACUAAUAUGCCCCUCUUGCUUUGCUGCUCCAAGAUUUCAAGCACAACAAAACAAAAAACUGCAUAACUUGACAGAUUAGAGAAUGUUGCUGAUACAAACUGAAGUUUUCCCUUAAUACUGAAAGCAAUAAUAGCCUUGAAUGUAAGUUAUGGUGAGCAUGGUUCUAGAAAGGUUAUUCUUUGAUAUCUAAGAUGGAUAGAUAUGAAAUCUAGAAUUGGGUUGUUUUGUUUAAGAAGACUUGGAUUUAUUUUCAUCUUUUUUCUCUCCCACUACAGAAGUGACUGAUAUAAAUUUAUCUAUCUUCCUUCCUUCUUACAUUCUUCAAAUAUUUGUUAAAUCAUAUCGAAUAAAUGUUUAAUGAAAUAAGCCCCAGAAGAUGACAUUCAGCCGAAUAUCCUUCUCAAAAAAAUUUUAUUGGGAUAAAAUUUAUGUAUGAUAAGCUGUAUCUAUUCAAAUUGUACAACUUUAUAAAAUGUUGCAGAUAUAUACAUACUAUAAUGAAGACACAAGGCCAUAAUUAAGAUACCAAUCAUUUUUUUCACCCCCAGUAUAUUCCUCAUACCCUUUGCAGUCUGUGUCUUUCCCUCUGUCCCCAGUCCAAGCGACCAUUGAUCUUUUCGUCACUUUAAAUUAGUUUGUGUUCUCUAAAAUUGUAUACAAAUGGAAUCACAGUAAAUGUACUCUUUUGUGUCUGGCGUCUUUCAUUCAAUAUAAUGAUCUUCAAAUUCAUUCAUGUUAUCCCAUGUUUUAGUAUAGUUCAUUCCUUUUAUUUGCUGAGUAGUAUUCCAAUGUACAGGUUGUUUCCUGGUGUUGGUUAUUGUGAAUAAAGCUAUUAAGAAUAUUUGUGUACAAGUCUUUAUGUGGACAUACAUUUUUAUUUGUCUUGAGUACAUAUCUAGGAGCAGAAUGGCUAGGUUGUACAGUAGAUGUGGGUUGACUUUUUAAGAAACUGCCAAAAAGUUUUCCAAAGAGGGUGUUCCAUUUUACAUUCAUAUCUGCCUCUAUCUGUGGAUCCAUAUAUUUGUCAUUCUUGGUAUUGUUAGCUUUUUAAAUUUUAGCCAUUCUAUUGUGUGUGCAGUGGUAUCUUGCUAUGGUUUUAAUUUGCAUUUCAGCCAUGACUAAUGUUUUUUAACAUCUUUUCAUAUACUUGUUGGCCAUUUGGAUAUAUCCCUUUAUGAAGAGUCAAUUCAAACUUCUGAGCAUUUUUUAUUGGGGUGUUUGUCUUUUUUAUUAGUGGGUUGUAAGACUCCUUUAUGUAUUCUGGAUAGAGAUUUACAUAAUAUCCAGAUUUAUAGGUUGAAAAUAUGUUCCCCUAGACUAUGUUCCCCAAGACUAUGGACCACAUUUUGAUUUUUGUAAUGAUAUCUUUCAAAGACUGAAAAUUUUAAAAUUUUGUCAUUAUUUUCUUCAGUGGUUUAUGUUGUUUAUGUUUUUUGUGUCCGAAUCUAAGAAAUUUUGCCCAUUCCAAGGUUGCAAAGAUUAAGUUUUCUUCUAGAAGUUUUAUAGAUUUCAUUUUUUAAAAAAAUUUAAGUGUAAGAUCUGUUUUGUAAUUAUUUUUGUAUGUGGUAUGAGGUAAAGGUCACGGUUUUCCAUAUUGAUAUUUAUCUGUCCAGGUACCAUUUAUCGAAGACUACUGUUUCCUCAUUAAAUUGCCUUGAAACUGUGCCAAAUUCAUUUGGCUGUAUAUAUAUGGGUCUGUUUCUGGAUUUACUUUUCUUUGACAUUGAUCUAUGUGUCCACCUUUCAUAUUACUUUGUUUUGAAUAAUCAAAGCUUCAUAGUAAGCCUGAAAUCAGAUAGUACAGUCCAUCAACUUUUAUUUUUUUAUACUCACUUUGACUAUUCGAAAUCUUUUUUUAUUUUCAAAAAAUAUUACAAUCAGCUUGUUUAUUUUCAAAGCCCAAAAGCCUGCUGAGAUUUUUACCCAAUCAGUAGAUUGAGCUGAAUCUACAGAUCAAUUUAGGGAGAACUGAGCAGUUCGCAAACAUAAUAUAUCUUCAUUUGUUUAGGUCUUCUUUAAUUUUUUCAGCAAUGUUGUUUGGUUUUUCAGUGAAGAGAUUCUACAUAUCUUUUGUUAUAUUUGCUCCUAAAUAUUUUAAGGUUUUGGUGCUACUGUAAUUAACAUUUUAAAAAAUUCAUUUUAAAUUUUAUGCUGCAAUUAUGAAAACAUACAAUUGGUUUUUGUAUCUUAAUCCUGCAUCCCAUAACCUCAUUCUUAUUCACUUAUUACUUCUAGCAGUUGUUUUGUAAAUUCCUUAGAAUUUUCUACAAUGACAACCCUGUCAUCUGCAGAAAUGGACAAUUUUACUUCUUUGUCUCCAAUCUUCACUCCUUUUAUUUCUUUUGUGUGUGUGUGUGUUUAUUACACCAUGGAGGACCUUCAUAACAAUGGUAAAUAGCAGUAUCAAUCCAAGAAUCCUUAUCUUGUUUCUGAUCUUAGUGUGAAAGCAUUCAAUAUUUGCCAUCAGUUGUGAUGUUAAGUGUAGGACUGUAGUCUUUUAUUAAACUGAUGAAGCUUUCUACUCCUGGUUGCUGAAAGUUUUUAUUAUGAAUAAUAUUGAGUCUUUUUGAAUGCUUUUUCUGUAUCUAUUAAAAUGGUCACAUAGUUUUCCUCUUUUAUCCUGUUAAUAGGAUGAAUUAGAUAGAUUUUUUUUUCACUUUACACCCAUCUUGUAUUCCUGGUAUAAAUCCACAUUGAUCAUAAUCUAUUAACCUUUCUAUAUGUUGUUGGAUUUGAUUUGCUAACCUUCCGGAAAGUAUUUUAGUUUCUGCUCAUGAGGCAUGUUAUUCUGUAAUUUUUUUGGUAACACAUUUUUGUUAGGUUUUGGUAUUAAUGUCAUGCUGGCUAUAAAACAUGUUGGGAAGCAUUUCGUCUUCAAAUUUCGGAAAGAUUUUCUGUAAGAUUUCAUUACUUCUUCUUUGAAUGUUUAAAUGUUGAUAUCUACGGUGGACGGUAGCUCGGAUCUCAGUUUAGACACUUUCAAUCUGCCCCUACAUGCAUGACUCAGGGUCCAGAGACUUUGUAGAAUAUACACAAAGAAUUUGGUGUUUCUCUUAUUUAGCUCUCUCUUUUUUUCCCCUAGGAUUCCCCCUCACUCUGUGGUGGCUCUGGUUACUCUGAGCGUUUUCAAAUGGUUUCUCCUGCCCAAAAGAGUAUGGGCUGUCUGUCAGAAUUUUAGCCAUAUCAUGAAACCGUUUUACUAAACUGUGGCUACCCUCCAGAAACCAACAGAAAUGAAAAACUUCAUUGGAGUUGCUUCCUCUAAGUUUCAACUCCCCUCCAAAAACCUACUUGCUUCUGUGCACCUCCAAAGCCCUUGGGUAGUUAUUUUAUUUGUUAUUUAUAGUUAUUUGCAGGAGACUUAGUUUGUUAGGAGCUUAUUCCUCCAUAACUAAAAGAGAAACCCACAGUAACUUUUGUAUUAAGUUCGAAACCAAUAACUAUAUAUUGUUUAGAUGUGUGUAUUAUAAGAAGCAUCUAAAUAAGCAAAAGAAUGAAAAAAACAAAAUUCAGAUUAAUGUAUACCUGGAAAAAGAAGGCAGGAGAUAAGAAACGAGAAAGCACAUAGAUAAACACAAAUUAUUGUCAAUGUUCUAGUAAUCAGGCUCUCUGUGGGUUAAUGGAUGUUCACUACAUUACUCAUAAAUGGAAAAAUAACAUGAUGAUAACAAAGGCUAGGCACAGACCAAUGAUGGCAAUGCAUCAUAAACAAAGGAUUUUGAUUAAUUUACUUCUAUCCAUCUAAAAACAAAUGUUGUCAGUAUCCCCAUCUUGUUCCUGGACUCCUGAAAAGGCUCUAAACCAACAAGAUUCUGAGACGCUGUAGUCACAGGGUCUAUGAAAUGGCUAAGGAUUUAUGAGAUUCAUUUAUAGGUAAAAUUUAUGAACCAUUCAAAUUUAGGCAUGUCUUAGACACGUGGUUAAUAACAACGAAACACCUUAAAUAACGUUGUCGUUUUGAACGGAAGAAGGAGGAAAACCAUGCCUGUGUGUAGUGUUGUGGGUUUUUUGUUGCUGUUCACAAUAUGAGCAGGCUGUUUGACAGAGAAAAAAGUUCUUGAUGCUUUAGAAGAAAGGAACAACAAGAAAAGACAUUGAACUCAAGAAUAUUGAAGCAGUCUCAAAGCAGGAGAAAACUUCAGCUUGCAUGCCUAAAAGCUUAUCCACAUGUCAAGGGCCGUGGGACAUUUUCCCAGAGGGCCUGGACAAGAAGCCUCCCUGGUCUUCUUAUCCUAAACUAGGCUGAAUGGAACACCAGGGAAUAUGCUGGAGGGAGGGAGAUCACACUGGCCAAAAGGGUGGAAAAAGUGAUGCAAUCAGAGAGCUCUUUCCCAUCUCUAAUUUUAUGACUCUAAAAAGGAAAGAGAAUUCAAACCACUUCAAAAUAAGGUCACCGGAGACCUGACGUAGAUGACUGGAUCUGUUGAAAAAUAAGUUUAUAAAGAUGCAUUUUUCUGGUUGAUAAUUACAUAUAAUGUCAAAAGAUAUCUCCACUUAGCUACUGCUUCAUAUCAAAUAUACAGUAAAAUUUUAAACUAAAGCAGAAUAAUCUCUAGCAAUUGAGAAGAGUAGGGGGAGAAUCUACAAACAAUAACACUGAAAAGUAAGGCUUCCCUCCCCAGCAACCAAAAGCUUGACAAAUAAAUCAUGCCUGUUGUUUCAUUGCUCAGGAUAUUUAAAAUAGUGUAAGCAGAAAAGUCUCUUCCACCUGCUUGCUACAAGGUUUGAUUUUGAGGAUAGUGUACUCCCAAAGACAUACCUCUAAAGGAAAAAAAAAUACCAUUUGAUUUUCUUUCCAUUUUUAAAAUCUGAUAUCACUAAUAAUAAAUUUUAUGUAUUUUUCCUAAGUCAAAGAGAGAAAUACCUUAUUAGUAGCUGUCUGUUGCUUACACUGAAACAGCCAUAAGAACAUAUUUUAAAAGCUAUGCCUUAUAAAAGUGCCUUUUUUAGAAAAUAAAAAAAAGAGAGAGAGACUGAGAAAUUUGCUAAUUGCUCUCAAAUUCAAAUCUCCAAUCAACUGAACACAAUUGUAAGUAAAUAGGGCCUCUUUGGGGGAAGGUAAUCCUAAUUAUGUGGCAAGCUACAGGGACACCCAAGUUUAUGUCAGUAGCAGAUUCUGAUAAGAUAUGCACCAAAGGAAUCAUGUCUGGACUGUUUCAACUGGGAGGGUGUUGGUGUAAUGUUGGUGUUUAGCUGUGAUCUAGAGAUCAGCAAAGGUCAGGCUGGACAAAACAGCGCCUAAUGAAGCUUCUCGUGUUUGGGGUGAAAGAGCCACAAAGCCUUUCAAAUUAGCAGCUGAAUCCUGACACUCAUUAGUGAUUAUAUAUGCAAGGGCUGCAUCUUCAGCCCCAACCAGUGAAACAGCCUAGACGCUCUGCAUACACACAAAAGAAAUAAAGUACGUACAAACAUAAAGAACUAGAACCUUUUAAAUGCCUUUCCCUUCACAUUCUGACAUUUUCUUUUCUUUCUUUUUUUUAAAUAUUAAUGACAGGACUGCAGUGUGCUUACCUUCCAAUUUCAUGUUAAAAUAAUUACCAUCGCCGUGACUAAAAUGAGACUUUCAGUUUUUUAUUUUAAUCAAGGAAGGUCUAGUCAGAAAUUGCUCUGCUAAGUUCUGUACAAGACAUAAUACACUCUUGUUAACUAACAAAGCCAAUAAAUCAAGCUGAAGCACUUAUUAAACUAUCUCACAGGACUAAAUUUAUCACUGAUGACAAAUUUAAUUUGGAGUUUUGAGACUUUGCUCCUUGCAUAUACUUCAACAGAUUUUUUGGAGGGGGCAGCUAUUUCACAAGUAAUGAAUGCUAAAUUUACUUGAAAUUUUUAGAGAUGUAAAAGACAACUUCCAAUAAAAACUGUGUUCUUCCUAGAGUGUCGCUAUCACUAGAAAAAAGUUAUGCAUUUCAAUUCCUUUCCAGUGACGCUAUCCUUUGCACAUUAGAGUUAGGAGAAUUUUUUAAAUGGUGAUAAUGAGCAUUUUACAAAGCAAUUUAUAACUAUCACUCAGUUAGCCCACACUCUAUCUCCACAGGUAGGUCAGUUUUUGUCCCUUGAUAAUGAAGAUAAGAAAAUUGAGAUACAGAGUUUUCCCUACAUAACAGGUAGAAUAAUUUUAAUCUGUGGCAAGGUCAUUUGGCACAAGGGAGGGUGGAAAGGAAAAAGUGAGGAAAUGCACAAAAUUGUAUUGGGUCUUCUUACAGUAGCUAAUACUGUAGCUAAAAGAAUGAUAUUCCCACUUUAAGAAUCAAAAGAAUUACAUUUCAAAUCCACAUAAAAUUUUAUUAAUAGGCGACCUUUCCUUGACACCAUGCUUCUAGACUAUAAUAUGAAUAAUGCCUUAUUUUCUGUUCCAGUCAACUGCACCGUGCAGUUUAUUAUACACCACAGCCAGGUUACAUAAGUUAUAUUUUCCAUAAACUUUUCCUCCUCCUGAAACAUCACUCUACAACUCCACACUAGCAUUUUCCUGUUGUCUUUUCAAACAGUAUUUUCCUUCUUGACAGUGCAAUCAGCGUAUAAAAACCAAAUUUCACCAUCUGGUCCCGUUUAAAGCAAACCGAGCAGCCUGAACCACAGCCUGACAAGGAGAACACAUUAAGCUCUUGAACAAAAGCAUCCAAGUCGACCUGUUUUGCAGACUGAUUAAUAGAAACAAGCUCCAAGGACUAAUCACAAGUCGAGCCCUGUUUUGCAGAUUAAUAGAACAAAGACACAUGAGAGGAGGGGAGCUUACAGCACUAGAAUACAAAUAAGCAAAGGUAGGCACCAGGCUUUCCUUGACUGAAGUCACAUCCUGUAAAGCCAGACCCAGGAACCCAAGUACCAGGGUGUCACAUUCAGGGAUGAAUCAAAACGCAGCACCAAAAAGGUCUGGGUUUUAUCAUUCAACCCAGCACUGGAUGAGCCAUCUAAGUUCUUCUAUCUUAGGAGACUCUGAUUUAAAAAAGAAAACACAUUUUUUCAGCUGAAUAAAUGCAGGGCUCUGGUGCUUUUGGGGGUUUCCUUGCAUUUCAGCCAGGCAAACCACAGUACUUGUUGAGGACAGACACUUCCACCUUCCCAUCUUUGAAUGGGAUAAUCUGUGAAAUAUGUACAUAUGUGCCAACCCACACACACACCCGGAUCAUAUACGUGAUGACGGCACCAAGUUUGAAGGACAGGGUUAAUUUCCAAUUACUCAUAGACACACAUUUUACGGCUACAGAAUGUGGCCUUUCUUCCUGACUGUAAAAAUAAAACUUACCCACUGUAAGAAUGUACAAAAUCCCAGGAAAAGCAGAAUAAGAGAAAGAAAAAAAGAACAUUCAUAAGAGAAAAUCGCUGUUAUAACUUGUGGUGUAUUAUCUUUCAGUUUUUGUUUUCUGACUAUAUUAGUAUAUGUUUUUAUAAUGCAAUGAUCCAUCUGUACAUUUUUGGUGAGGAUAUGGCUUUUAAAAUGCUUACUGCUAAAUAUAAGAAGAAAAACAUACUAUUGCUGUCUGAUGACUGAUGCUAGUUCUUCAAGGGACAAAACCAUUCAAGGUGAAUGUAAGAAUGCUUUUACUGGAAUUGUGAAAUCUUCAUUCAUGUGAGUAUGUGGUUAACUGAGGAAAGUUUGCACAGCUUGGGAAACAUAAUUUUUAAGAAUCGAGAUGUCUACUUUUUGCAUGAUUUCUAUUUUUGAUGAUUUUCUAUAUUUAACUAUUUCCCUUUCAUUGUUUUUUCUACUGUUACUUGUAGAAACUCAGACAAAAAGCUUUUUUGGUCUCGUUCAGAUUAUUUGAUGCAAUAUUUUCAGAGUGAGACAAAGAGAAUGAAUUUUCUCUGGCAUAUUUGUAUUCUGCUUAACCAAUAAUCCACUGAUUCUGUUUAUUGGAACAAUCAACAAAGCAAAAAUGCAUUCAUAAUUAUGUAUCAAGAGUUACAAAGUCUCAGAACUGACUUUAGAGCACUGUUAAGCCUGUGGUUUACAGGCUAGCCAAACUUCAAAAUUUCCUAUGAACUGUUUCUAUUUCUCUCAGACUUUUCAGAACAGAGUUCAAACUCUGUAGAAGGUAAUUCCUACAGCAAAUAGCCUUAAAUACGAAUACCCUCCUUAAAAACCAAUACCUUGUGAUUUUCCCUUCAAUAGUAAUCUUGAACGGCACAUACAGUGUGAAUGUAGCAAGGCACUCAAUACCCUGAAAAUUCGCUCGUCUCUCAUGGGCCUGCCUCUGAAGCUGCUAUGAAAGCCGGCAACCACACAGAAUUUGCCUCCGCAUGCAGGCUCAUCAGAAGGGGCGGAAGGAUGUCCUGCGGCUCUGCAGAUGUGGUGCUGGCAAAAGAGGAGCACCCAGUGGAAGGAGCAACCUCAUCUCUCCAAAUAUAUGUGUGCUCCAAAACCCAUCUCACCUUCAUCAGAGAUUAGGAGAAGGAUGAAAGUAUCCAGUGUGGUUACCUAAACUAACUUGUGAACACAUCUGAGCCACAGAGGAGAAAUGCAUCACAGGAAGACAGAAGCAGCUAAGGCUGGAACCAAAUAAAUACAGGUUAAGACUGUCAAUGGGACUCUAGUGGGCUCACUGUCUGGCAAGACCUGGAGAAGUUCACUCUUCACUUACAGUUCAGAGUACAAAAUAAGUAAUCAGUGUUUGUCAAGUAGCCUGAAUAUAACUGGUACAGAAUCUACACGACGCUAAGAACUCAAUCACUGAGAAUUCAGCCACUGAGAAAAGGGAAUACUGUAUAUUUGACAAUUGGUUUUAAUGUCCAUAGGACGUUCUGAGGGCCCACCUGGUCUAGCUUCCGACCAAUCUCAAACUUGACACCAACUACUUUGACUGCAGCCUUGAAGCGACGGUCUCUGUAACUAAGAGUGAUUUCUAGAGCUGCUCACAGUACGGGAAUAAGGUGUCUGAGCUGAAGAAAUGAUACCAAAAAGCCUAAAAUUGCUGGUGGAGGCUUUCUUUGAAAACUCUCACUGCCGUACUGUGAGGUUUAAUGUAAGAUUUGUCCUACUCCCAUUUCUCACUUUUAUUGAACGAUGCUCACCUGAAGAGAUGCUAGAUUUCUGAGUGUUCAGGAAGAAUCUAGGUACAUGUACCUUGUUAACACAUGUUAUUAAAGCCCAUGGACAUCAUUUAGGGCUUUGCUUGGUUCCAUUUUGCUCUAUCAUCUCUAGUCUUUCCGUUUUGUAUGUCCAUGACUGUGCCUGAUCUUGUAUUGGAAAUACUUUCUUUCCUUUUGUCACUGGGUGUCUAAUCUGUGUAAAUUCUCAGUUCACCAGCCAGAGACAUAUCUCUACCACCACCACCCUGAUUCACUCAUUCAUUCGUUCAGAAGACAGGGACCAAGCAUCUACUAUGUGCCAGGCACUGAGCUUGCCUAGGGUAUGCAUAGAGGACAAAGUACAGGUCCUUGCUCUGAUGGAGCUUGUAAUCACUUUAUACUCUCUUUCUAUCCACCAGCAGCAACUCUGGAUUAAAAGGAGCCUAUUAGUGUAAUAGGAGAAAAUGAAAGAACACCCAGCAGCCAGCCAGCCAUGUCCCAAAGUGGAGGUCCAGGUCUUCUGUGGAGCACAGUGUGGGCCCAUGGCAGGUCUGACUGCAGCCGAAGUACACUGCCAGCACUUCCCUCUUGGUGCAUAUGCCCAGGGCUGCUGUCUCUCUCCACUGCAUGGUUCUUCAGAGGGAAAAAGCCACAUGCAACCUAUACUUGCCUCCUGAUAUGUGUUGUGGAGGAAGUUGCCUCUGUGGUGCAGGAACAGCAGGAGCUGACUCAUGCCUUAUAACACAUUAAGACAUAAAUCUGUGUGUGUGAGAGACAGGGUUUCCCUCUGUCACCCAGGCUGAGUGCAGGGGUGUGCUCACGGCUCAUUGCAACAUCGACCUCCCAGACUCAGCAAUCCUCCUGCCUCAACCUCCCAAGUAGCUGGGACUACAAGCACAUACCAUGCCUGGCUAAUUUUUUAAUUUUGUAGAGAUGGGGCCUCACUAUGUUGCCCUGUCUGGUCUCAAACUCCUGAGCUCAAGUGAUCCUCCAACCUCAACCUCCCAAAGUGUUGGGAUUACAUGCACAAGUCACUGCACCUGGCCAAUUUUUCUUUUUAAACCCUAGUGUCUGAGUCACUUGUUUUUUCUCUUCCCUCAAUGAUCCUAUUUUCCCCUAGAAGCACACCUCACCACUUAAUCCUGAGAGCCCCUGAAGGGUGCUGGCCUGGAUUUCUGUACACCCUUUUUGCAACUAGAUGAAAACGUCCAGGUCUUCUAAGAUGAAAAGCAGCUACUUCCUGAGUUGCUCAGGCCACGGAGUAGACAGACAUCUAGGAUAUCCUGGUUUAGUCUAGCAAACUCCGCAAAGGAAGCCUGGAUUCUAGUCCUAUUUUGCCCUCAAAUUAAGUCUGUAGCUUUGGGCAAGUCACUUUCUCUGUCAAAAACUCUCUAUGUUGGUCUCUGUCAAAAGGAGGCAAUAAUGAACAGCAGUUGACAUAUAAACACUGUAAAUGCUGGCUAUUGUUAAUUAUUAUUAGUAAUACAUACCCUGGUUAAAGAAUUGUUGUGAGCCCCAAAUGAGAUAAUACAUAUGAAAGUUCUCUGAGUGAAAUACACCAUCCAAAUGUAAAUUUAUUAUUGUUGUUUGCCAAAUGGCUCUCUCAGAAUGUGCAGGCAAAAAUAUAAAUUAUGCCAACGGUUGCUAUGAAGCAUAAUUGAAUGCAGACAAAUACUUCUUUAGCACCUCCACAUUCUUCCAUACAACCACCACCAACACAUCAGAUAAAGGCACCCGGCAGGCUUUGAAGGCUGAAUUGGACAGAGCUGGCAGAAAGGGACGAGUGAGAUCCCACAUGACCAGUUCUGCAUAAACUGGCUUUGGAAAUGGUAUUUACUGAUUUGGUCAUCAAUGGCGAGGUAGGAAGCAAAGUGAUCGGUUUUGCUUUCUCCUUUUUCAAAUAAACAGGGCAGUUGUUAAACCAGAAGUGAAUCUGAUCCGGGCUUUAAGAGCAGUCAGCUGCAUUCUGAAACAGGCAAAAAUGUAAACAGAGCCCUGUAACUCUAGACUAGGGCAGAACAGCCAUAGGUUUCAUAAUGGGAGAGUCUAUGGGCCCUGUGCCAAGAAAAAUGAAAUGUUACCCUGGGCCUUUAAACAGAAUCAUGUAAGAGCAGAGUGCAUAUUUGUUUAACACACACACACACACACAAGACCUUUUUCUGUGCCAACACCUUUCUGAACCCUCCUGAAUAAAAGCUGAAAUCCCUGAAAACGUCGUACAGAACCAAUAUUGUUUGCAUAGUCUCAUUCUUUAGUGCCAAAGGAUUUUUCUGCUGAACAAGGAGCUGUUUCUUUCUUUUCUUUUUUCUUCUUCUUCUUCUCCUUUUUUUUUUUUUUGCCUAAGUUAAUUACAAAGUAUGACUGAGAAAAUAAAAUAAAUGAGCCCAUUCCACCCAUCCCUGUAUCUGAAUUCUAUCAUAUGAGUUGCCAGUUGGUUUUCUAAUCCUCUCACUCAAUAUCUGCUGUUAAUUUGUUCACUAUUUCAAGAACUUGAAGACUGUCAGCAAAAUACAUGAUGCAUUACAAAACUUAUAAUUGGAAAUAAAAACAUCUGACGCUUUCCUGACAGAGUAAACAUAAAGUACUAUUGCACUGAUCAGAACAAGGGAAAUGUGAGCAACCUUGUAGCUAUUUGUGUGCAAACACAAUUAGAAAUGCUGCAGAGAGUGAAAUCAACUCCCACUUUGAAAAAUGCUGAGAAAAUUACAUCUAAAUGAAUGAAUGAAUUCAACAUGGUUAUGAUAGGAAAUGAGGGGAAGAGAGGAAGGGAAAACAAAUCCUGCUCACACUUCCUUUGAAAAUGCAACUCAACAGACUUUCUCUUCCUAUUUCAGCCAUUUUAGAAUUGCACUGCCUAGGCCUGAUCUAAUUUUCCUGCUGGAGAAGUUAAGGCACUUCCUCCACAGUUACUAAAUCUGACAAAUUACACCUGGGUCCACUCUAACGUGAAAAAAUGUGUUCUUUGUUCCUGACCCUUUGGUCAGCCUAGAGAUCAAAUUCCUGGACAUUGGAAAGCCCCACUCAUAUUCAUUAAAAGCCACGGGAGACCAGCUCUGUAUUUCUGUUCAAGAGAAGAACAAGGUGCAGGCUUUCGCUGAACAAUACAACUGCUCUGCUCCAGUCGGUGCAAUAUAGACCUUUCACUUUCUGCAGCUUGGCUGCUGAUCAAUUAGUAUGUGGAUUUUUUUUUUUUCUGCACAGUAUCUUAGUAUCAAAACAGCAAAAGAAGAGCCUAGUCCCACGAGUAAGUUUACCCCAAAUUGCUUGUGUUAAAAAGCUGGCUACAGAUUCAGUAAUCAAAAAUACAAAGAUGAUUUCAAAACUCUACCUUACCUCUACCCAGCCAGACAUGCCAUUAGUUACCACAGGGGCUAGUAUUUGACAGAUUAGAAUUUUGUUCCCUUUCUAACCAUACUCAGCCUUUGAGAAAGAUGUUACAGAGCUGAGAGUGAGUCACAAAGACAAAAUUGGGCACCACUGGUGGCAGAGAAUCAAUUUUAGGUAUGCAAGCAAUCCACAAGCUCUCCCAUGGUACGAAGUAUGUAUGAGGCUGACCCACCUGCCUGACAACAAAAAACCUUCUUCUUCUGCACUCCCAAAAAAGAAUGAGAAAAAAACAACAAUAGGAGAAGUGAAGCAAAUCUGUGGCUGAACUGUUAAAAAGAUGCCUGAUGCCUUUCUUCCAGAUUCUUGGAAGAAUGAGAUGGUGAAGGAAUACAUACAGAUGCCAUAAAACCUGCCUUAAGGCCUCCUGAGGUAAGGGUGCCCCUAAAGAAUUCAUCAACUAUUGCCUUCCCAUUUGAGGGAGCCCCUUUCCUUCCAGACCUGGCAUCCCACUUAUAACAUCUUCAGUUUAGGCCACUGGAUUUUCCCAGACCUAUCAAACCACAUUCAAAGCCUCUUCCUUGGGGAUCUAGUAAGUACUACAGAACAUUACGGUUGCAAACAUAUAUAAAUGCUCUGGUGUGUUGUAAGUUAUUUUCUACAUACCAAUUCCUGUUAAACUGUAAAUUAGAAAACACUACUUUAAUUCUCCCUAGUCUUGAGGUAGCUUUCAGCUGUGUUGCAAGUUAUCAACAUGUAACAAAUACAGACUAAUAUUCUUUUUCUGUAGCUAGACCAAGCCACAAUCCAUAUCUUCUAAAUACAUGAAUUAUAGCUAUUUUCCUAGUCUGAUGGCGAUUACUUUUGAGAAACCUGUGAAUCCUUAAUAUCAGGGUUCUUAUUUUGAUUUCUAUUUUUAAAACCACUAGCGGUAUCAGCAAUGCAGAACUUAAUACUUCCUCCAAAAAAGUCACUGUGAAAACAGGGAAAUCAAACAAUCAAUUUACAUUAUUUUGGGUUGAAAUAUCUGUUGGGUUACUAAGCAGGGACUCACCUAUGUGUAAAUCUCAGAGAUGGAAAAAAUCUAAUUUCCGAGGGGAGAAAAGUGGUACCUAUGGUAUAAGUUCUCCCAAACGUUGCUUCUUAAUAAUAAAAGAGGUUAAAAAUUGUACAAGACAUUAAAGGAAUUCAAGCAUGCUCACAAAUAUGUAUUGUUUUUGAAAAUUCUAACUUUGAUGACCAUUUAAGUGGGUGGCAUAUGAGAGAAACAAGGGCAGACCUCAUUCCUCAUGUUUUACAACUAAAUGAAGAAGUUAAGGGACUUGCCUAGUGUCACCCAAUGGGCAGAAGGUGAACUAGGGCUAAAACUUAUCUAAUCUCACUCCUAGUCCCAUAGUCUCCUUAUGAAGGUUGACAGAGGUAUAAAGUAGUUUGGAAACAUUAACACAUCACUAUUAGUAGUAAUAGCUAACAUUUAUCAAAUGCUUACUCCAUGCUAAAAAGUCUUCUAUGCACUGUGGAUGCAUUAAUUCUAUCUUCAUAACAACCAUGAAACCGUAAUGUUUUCUCCCAUUUUAGAGAUGAAACAGAGGCAGGCAGAUGUUAAGAAACUCACCCAAGGUCCCACUGAGCAAGUGGUAAAGAUGGCAAAUACUCUCCUCCCUAGCACAGAAAUGCUAAUGCAGACAUUUCUAAAUCGAUGUUCAGAUUAUCAGUAGCUCUGGGAAUAUUAAUUUUGAUGAAAUAUCUUCACAGUGAGAUCCAAACUACUGAUGCCUCCCAAAAACAGAUGAUGAAACUGAAAUAUCAUUUUUGUCAACCUCUGUAUUCUUGGUCAAAAUACAAAGUAUCAACAAUUCCAAUGGAUGGGGCAAAAAUCAUUUAAAGAUCUCCCUCAUUGUAAAGAGAUGCUCAAUAGGAAAUGGUUGAAGCUUUGUGGAAAUCUCAACAGACUUAAGUCUAAGGACACCUUUAGGAGAACAUUUCAGAAGACUGAUUAGUGCUUAUUUUCUUGACUUUGCUACCUUGCCAGUAUUAAAAUUAAAACAUUUUAAAUGAUAUCAAUCCAGUUCAGAUAUAAACUUUGUCUGCAGUUUGCAGCACCACCAAAAACAGAUCAUGCCCUGCCACAUCACAUAUCUGAAUUAGUCUGUUUGUUCGAUUGCUUGAGAUGCUGCAAGAUCUGCCUGAGGACCAAAAUCAUUCCCUCAUUCAUCACAGCUACAAUCUAGUUUAGCUGAACCCUGUCCUAAACAGAUUUGAAUCAGCUCAGAUAAUGGAGGAAGUUUGUUGCUGUCAUCAUUUCAGCAACUAUCAGUCCAGGGAUUUCUGAACAUCUGCUUGCUCAGGAAUAGCCUUAAAUGUCCUGUGCCUUUUAAGGAUUUUUUCAAAAGUAAUCUUAAAUUAUUUUUAAACAAUGAUCUUAACUUGCAUGUAGAGCACCUCUGCCAAUCAGAGGUCAUUCCUCAACUACUGUACUGACAUUAAGAACUGGGCUGUGAAGCUGGAAAUGCUCUGUCUCCUGCCCUUUACCCAGAAAUGCUAAUAUCAACAUCCUACAUGACCCCAGAUUACAGUUUGACAGGACUGAUUUCUGCUGUUUAUUCUCUUGCCCUUUACCACGUUCUCACACAUUAAAAAAAUAAAUUGACGUACCUUACUAAAUAAAGCUAGGUAUAAACUGGAUCUGAGGAUUAUAACCACCAAUUACCACAUCCCAACCCCUGCCACCCCUCAGUCAUGCUGUACACCCUGGAAUCAGACUUGUCAGGUUCAAAUCAGACCUCUUAUUAUCUGUGGCGAUUCUUGAGCAAUUACUUAACUUUUCUGCACCUGGAUUUUCUUAUCUGCCAAAUGAGAAUCAUAAUAGUGCCCAUCUCCUAAAGGUAUUUUGAGGAUUAAAUAAGAUGACACGUAUACAAAAAAUGUAGGACAAUGCCUGGCAUAUAGGAAGUACUUAAUUAAGAGUUCAAAAUCAUUGUCGGGGUUGAUUUUAAACAGAUAUGUACUUCCUGUACCCACUCACCAGUCCUUCUGGAUACCAACUCGUA
rnacentral:lncRNA from 10 species